rnacentral:misc_RNA from 1 species
GCCAGAACAGCUCAGACUGCCUGCUACGUGCGCUUACUGGCUCCAGGACUCGCUGCCAUAGUCAGCCAGCCUUUCCCGCGCUUCUCGCCGUUCUCUCGAAGCUCUCGGUCCUCCUCCGGUCGCGUCCAGUCCACUGGCAGUCCUCCCGCUCGCUGUGCGCUUGUGAAGUCUCGACGACUUCGCCUCCCUUUGUCUUCCUGAUCAGCUUGAGCAGGCGCACCAGAUCAAGCCCUUCUCUUCCUUCCACGGCUUCAGAAGCUUCCUCGACUCCGUUAAGAUCGACCGCGUUGCGAUGUCCUGGUGGUUCAACGAUCACUGGCAGGUCUGGAUC